rnacentral:rRNA from 1 species
GAUGAACGCUGGCGGCGUGCCUAAUACAUGCAAGUCGAGCGAACGGACGAGAAGCUUGCUUCUCUGAUGUUAGCGGCGGACGGGUGAGUAACACGUGGAUAACCUACCUAUAAGACUGGGAUAACUUCGGGAAACCGGAGCUAAUACCGGAUAAUAUUUUGAACCGCAUGGUUCAAAAGUGAAAGACGGUCUUGCUGUCACUUAUAGAUGGAUCCGCGCUGCAUUAGCUAGUUGGUAAGGUAACGGCUUACCAAGGCAACGAUGCAUAGCCGACCUGAGAGGGUGAUCGGCCACACUGGAACUGAGACACGGUCCAGACUCCUACGGGAGGCAGCAGUAGGGAAUCUUCCGCAAUGGGCGAAAGCCUGACGGAGCAACGCCGCGUGAGUGAUGAAGGUCUUCGGAUCGUAAAACUCUGUUAUUAGGGAAGAACAUAUGUGUAAGUAACUGUGCACAUCUUGACGGUACCUAAUCAGAAAGCCACGGCUAACUACGUGCCAGCAGCCGCGGUAAUACGUAGGUGGCAAGCGUUAUCCGGAAUUAUUGGGCGUAAAGCGCGCGUAGGCGGUUUUUUAAGUCUGAUGUGAAAGCCCACGGCUCAACCGUGGAGGGCCAUUGGAAACUGGAAAACUUGAGUGCAGAAGAGGAAAGUGGAAUUCCAUGUGUAGCGGUGAAAUGCGCAGAGAUAUGGAGGAACACCAGUGGCGAAGGCGACUUUCUGGUCUGUAACUGACGCUGAUGUGCGAAAGCGUGGGGAUCAAACAGGAUUAGAUACCCUGGUAGUCCACGCCGUAAACGAUGAGUGCUAAGUGUUAGGGGGUUUCCGCCCCUUAGUGCUGCAGCUAACGCAUUAAGCACUCCGCCUGGGGAGUACGACCGCAAGGUUGAAACUCAAAGGAAUUGACGGGGACCCGCACAAGCGGUGGAGCAUGUGGUUUAAUUCGAAGCAACGCGAAGAACCUUACCAAAUCUUGACAUCCUUUGACAACUCUAGAGAUAGAGCCUUCCCCUUCGGGGGACAAAGUGACAGGUGGUGCAUGGUUGUCGUCAGCUCGUGUCGUGAGAUGUUGGGUUAAGUCCCGCAACGAGCGCAACCCUUAAGCUUAGUUGCCAUCAUUAAGUUGGGCACUCUAAGUUGACUGCCGGUGACAAACCGGAGGAAGGUGGGGAUGACGUCAAAUCAUCAUGCCCCUUAUGAUUUGGGCUACACACGUGCUACAAUGGACAAUACAAAGGGCAGCGAAACCGCGAGGUCAAGCAAAUCCCAUAAAGUUGUUCUCAGUUCGGAUUGUAGUCUGCAACUCGACUACAUGAAGCUGGAAUCGCUAGUAAUCGUAGAUCAGCAUGCUACGGUGAAUACGUUCCCGGGUCU